CGGGCCUCUCGCGUCAGGAUAUGCCUAGGUGGGAUUAGCUAGUUGGUGAGGUAAGGGCUCACCAAGGCGACGAUCCCUAGCUGGUCUGAGAGGAUGAUCAGCCACACUGGAACUGAGACACGGUCCAGACUCCUACGGGAGGCAGCAGUGGGGAAUAUUGCACAAUGGGCGCAAGCCUGAUGCAGCCAUGCCGCGUGUGUGAAGAAGGCCUUCGGGUUGUAAAGCACUUUCAGUCGUGAGGAAGGUAGUGUAGUUAAUAGCUGCAUUAUUUGACGUUAGCGACAGAAGAAGCACCGGCUAACUCCGUGCCAGCAGCCGCGGUAAUACGGAGGGUGCGAGCGUUAAUCGGAAUUACUGGGCGUAAAGCGCAUGCAGGUGGUUUGUUAAGUCAGAUGUGAAAGCCCGGGGCUCAACCUCGGAAUUGCAUUUGAAACUGGCAGACUAGAGUACUGUAGAGGGGGGUAGAAUUUCAGGUGUAGCGGUGAAAUGCGUAGAGAUCUGAAGGAAUACCGGUGGCGAAGGCGGCCCCCUGGACAGAUACUGACACUCAGAUGCGAAAGCGUGGGGAGCAAACAGGAUUAGAUACCCUGGUAGUCCACGCCGUAAACGAUGUCUACUUGGAGGUUGUGGCCUUGAGCCGUGGCUUUCGGAGCUAACGCGUUAAGUAGACCGCCUGGGGAGUACGGUCGCAAGAUUAAAACUCAAAUGAAUUGACGGGGGCCCGCACAAGCGGUGGAGCAUGUGGUUUAAUUCGAUGCAACGCGAAGAACCUUACCUACUCUUGACAUCCAGAGAACUUUCCAGAGAUGGAUUGGUGCCUUCGGGAACUCUGAGACAGGUGCUGCAUGGCUGUCGUCAGCUCGUGUUGUGAAAUGUUGGGUUAAGUCCCGCAACGAGCGCAACCCUUAUCCUUGUUUGCCAGCGAGUAAUGUCGGGAACUCCAGGGAGACUGCCGGUGAUAAACCGGAGGAAGGUGGGGACGACGUCAAGUCAUCAUGGCCCUUACGAGUAGGGCUACACACGUGCUACAAUGGCGCAUACAGAGGGCGGCCAACUUGCGAAAGUGAGCGAAUCCCAAAAAGUGCGUCGUAGUCCGGAUUGGAGUCUGCAACUCGACUCCAUGAAGUCGGAAUCGCUAGUAAUCGUGGAUCAGAAUGCCACGGUGAAUACGUUCCCGGGCCUUGUACACACCGCCCGUCACACCAUGGGGAGUGGGCUGCAAAAGAAGUAGGUAGUUUAACCUUCGGGGGGGACGCUUACCACUUUUGUGGUUCAUGACUGGGGUGAUC
rnacentral:rRNA from 1 species